UGGUAAAAGAUCUGCAAAGGAACUGUGUGAUCUGACUGCAACUGGGGACUGUUUGGUAUCUUACGACUUGCUACUGUGGGAUACUCCAUUGAUGAAUAAGGAGCAGGAUAUACUGUUCAGACAAUUCAUAAGCGAUUUACCAACAGUCAUUAAGGACCUGAACUACAAGCUAACCCAGUGACAGUGUCAACUUUAGGUGGACAGACACUCGUUAGCUCUGGACUGGACUGGACUGGACCAGUCUCAGUGAAUAGAAGAGGAGCAGUCAGGCUAUGGACACACAGUUUGCUUUCAUUUCACUUACAAUGCUCCACUGAAAAUCAAUGGCAUUUCAUUCAUGCAGUGUGCCGCUGUAUGACCCUGUACAGAUGUACCAUUUGUAGGGUACAUUUUCC